rnacentral:rRNA from 1 species
AGAGUUUGAUCAUGGCUCAGAAUCAACGCUGGCGGCGUGCCUAACACAUGCAAGUCGAACGCGAAAGUCCCGCAAGGAUGAGUAGAGUGGCAAACGGGUGAGUAACGCGUGGGUGACCUGCCUUCGAGCGGGGGAUAACGUUCCGAAAGGGACGCUAAUACCGCAUGACAUCCUGUCUUUUAAGAGAUGGCGAUCAAAGCGGCGUCGCAAGACGUCGCACUCGAAGAGGGGCCCGCGUCCGAUUAGCUAGUUGGUGAGGUAAUGGCUCACCAAGGCAUCGAUCGGUAGCCGGCCUGAGAGGGCGGACGGCCACACUGGGACUGAGACACGGCCCAGACUCCUACGGGAGGCAGCAGUGGGGAAUUGUUCGCAAUGGGCGCAAGCCUGACGACGCAACGCCGCGUGGAGGAUGAAGACCUUCGGGUCGUAAACUCCUUUCGAUCGAGAAGAAUUCCUCCCGGGUGAACAAUCCGGGAGGUUGACGGUACCGAGAGAAGAAGCCCCGGCUAACUCCGUGCCAGCAGCCGCGGUAAUACGGGGGGGGCAAGCGUUGUUCGGAAUUACUGGGCGUAAAGGGCUCGUAGGCGGCCAACUAAGUCAGACGUGAAAUCCCUCGGCUUAACCGGGGAACUGCGUCUGAUACUGGAUGGCUAGAGUGUGGGAGAGGGAUGCGGAAUUCCAGGUGUAGCGGUGAAAUGCGUAGAUAUCUGGAGGAACACCGGUGGCGAAGGCGGCAUCCUGGACCACGACUGACGCUGAGUGAGCGAAAGCCAGGGGAGCAAACGGGAUUAGAUACCCUAGUAGUCC